rnacentral:rRNA from 1 species
UACAGAGGGUGCAAGCGUUAAUCGGAAUUACUGGGCGUAAAGCGUGCGUAGACGGUUAUUUAAGUCAGGUGUGAAAGCCCAGGGCUCAACCUUGGAAUUGCAUUUGAGACUGAAUAGCUAGGGUGCGGAAGAGGGAAGCGGAAUUUCCGGUGUAGAGGUGAAAUUCGUAGAUAUUCGGAAGAACACCAGUGGCGAAGGCGGCUCACUGGACGAUUGUUGACGCUGAGGUGCGAAAGCGUGGGGAGCAAACAGG